rnacentral:snRNA from 1 species
AAGAAACGAUACAGAGAAGAUUAGCUUGGCCCCUGCGCAAGGAUGACACGCACAAAUCGAGAAGGAAACAAAAAACCC